rnacentral:rRNA from 1 species
GGGUCAAUAGGUUGGUCGUGCCACCGGUACGUACUGGUCUCACUGAUUCCUCCUUCCUGAAGAACCGUAAUGCCAUUAAUUUGGUGUUGCGGGGAAACAGGACUGUUACUUUGAAAAAAUUAGAGUGUUUAAAGCAAGCCAACGCUUGAAUACAUUAGCAUGGAAUAAUGAAAUAGGACGAUCGAUCCUAUUUUGUUGGUUCCUAGGAUUGACGUA